GACGAACGCUGGCGGCGUGCUUAACACAUGCAAGUCGAACGGUGAAGCUCCAGCUUGCUGGAGUGGAUCAGUGGCGAACGGGUUAGUAACACGUGAGCAACCUGCCCCAGACUCUGGAAUAAGCGCUGGAAACGGCGUCUAAUACUGGAUACGAGAUCAAGCCGCAUGGUUAUGGUCUGGAAAGUUUUUCGGUUUGGGAUGGGCUCGCGGCCUAUCAGCUUGUUGGUGAGGUAAUGGCUCACCAAGGCGACGACGGGUAGCCGGCCUGAGAGGGCGACCGGCCACACUGGGACUGAGACACGGCCCAGACUCCUACGGGAGGCAGCAGUGGGGAAUAUUGCACAAUGGGCGAAAGCCUGAUGCAGCGACGCCGCGUGAGGGAUGACGGCCUUCGGGUUGUAAACCUCUUUCAGCAGGGAAGAAGCGAAAGUGACGGUACCUGCAGAAGAAGCACCGGCUAACUACGUG
rnacentral:rRNA from 1 species